CAGUGUACCUACCUAUACCUUUGCGAGUGUCGAUCGAAUGAGCACUCCUAAUGGUUAAAUCAUACACAUAUUUCAUUAGCUACUAAUACCUAGAAAUGGAAUGAUAAGAGAAAAUGGAAUUGAUAAGAGAUGAAAAAUAGAGCAAAACAAAGGUGAUAAAAACGGCCAUUGUUAUCUAAAAUCAUAAAGUUAAUAUUAAAACGUUGUUUUUCGAGAAUUAAACCUUACCUAAAAAACUUAAUUUAGUGCUAGGGGUACUACAGAAGAAGAGGCGAUACGAAUAGUGUUUCGAAUUAAGGAUUCAGCUAGAAGAAUAGAGCGAAAAUUUAGUUGCGACUGAUUCAACUGGUCUGUUUCUGCAUCGAUACUACGGGUGCAAGCUUAGGGGUCCUAGGAUAGUCAAGAUAAGCUGAGAUAACGUCGAAGGCUUUAGAAUAGGUACUAUCGGAAACGAGGCAUACCAAAUCUUGUAAGUAGUUGUAACAAAUACCUUGAAUUACGAGUAAUAAAACAAAAUUUUCUAGUUUUGAGCUGCCACA